rnacentral:rRNA from 1 species
AACGAACGCUGGCGGCAGGCUUAACACAUGCAAGUCGAACGCAUCCUUCGGGGUGAGUGGCAGACGAGUGAGUAACGCGUGGGAAUCUACCCAGUUCUGCGGAACAACAGUUGGAAACGACUGCUAAUACCGCAUACGCCCUACGGGGGAAAGAUUUAUCGGUAUUGGAUGAGCCCGCGUUGGAUUAGCUAGUUGGUGAGGUAAUGGCUCACCAAGGCGACGAUCCAUAGCUGGUCUGAGAGGAUGAUCAGCCACACUGGGACUGAGACACGGCCCAGACUCCUACGGGAGGCAGCAGUGGGGAAUAUUGGACAAUGGGCGCAAGCCUGAUCCAGCCAUGCCGCGUGAGUGAUGAAGGCCUUAGGGUUGUAAAGCUCUUUCAGUGGGGAAGAUAAUGACGGUACCCACAGAAGAAGCCCCGGCUAACUUCGUGCCAGCAGCCGCAGUAACAC